GUGGGGAAUCUUGCGCAAUGGGCGAAAGCCUGACGCAGCCAUGCCGCGUGAAUGAUGAAGGUCUUAGGAUUGUAAAAUUCUUUCACCGGGGACGAUAAUGGCGGUACCCGGAGAAGAAGCCCCGGCUAACUUCGUGCCAGCAGCCGCGGUAAUACGAAGGGGGCUAGCGUUGCUCGGAAUUACUGGGCGUAAAGGGCGCGUAGGCGGACAGUUUAGUCAGAGGUGAAAGCCCAGGGCUCAACCUUGGAAUUGCCUUUGAUACUGGCUGUCUUGAGUACGGGAGAGGUGAGUGGAACUCCGAGUGUAGAGGUGAAAUUCGUAGAUAUUCGGAAGAACACCAGUGGCGAAGGCGACUCACUGGCCCGUUACUGACGCUGAGGCGCGAAAGCGUGGGGAGCAAACAGGAUUAGAAACCCUGGUAGUCC
rnacentral:rRNA from 1 species